UAACUGUCCCUGUUGAAGUCCUCAGAGCUCCAGCUGGAACUGAGGCACUAGCAGGUGUGUACAGCUGCUCAUGCUUCUGUGCUGCCUGAUUCAUGUCAUACACAGAAACAAGAGGCUUCCUGAAAUCACUAGUACCAUCUCUGCCUGUCACCUUCCCAAGGUUGGCUGUAGCUGAGACUUCAGAGACUCCAGAGACUUCUUUCAGUACUCACAGAAACCUCCUAGCCUUGGUGAUGGCACAUGGGGACUGUUUACUUGCUCUUAGUCUGAAUGAUUGCCAAGAAGGAAGGCAAAGGUAGAGCGGUCGGAUCUCUGGCUCCCCCCAUACUUCUAAUCUCAGACCUUAUUAAACUCCUUUUUGAGCCAAGGACAAAGCUCACUUGAACAAAUGACUUUGAGUCAUGAAUGAAAACUCUUGCUCUUUCCACAGUGAGAAAGAAUUAAGAGAUGGACAGGUUGAAAGUGUGUGUGCUGCGUAUCCUUCACCAUAUGACAAGGACACCGGUGUUCUUCGGGCUCUCAGAGGAAUUCCUAUCUCAGAGUUGAAGAACCAUGGCAUCCUCCGGGCCCUGACAGCAGAAGCCAACGGAUGGCAGUCAGGUGUUGUGAAUGCGGAGGUGCUCAGAGCCCAAGAAGAAUGGGAAGCUGUGGACAACAUCCAGACAGAGUCAGGGAACCAGGCCAGUGUAGAGCAGCCUGGGCAGCUGAUCUCCUUCAGUGAGGCUCUGCAGCAUUUCCAGACUGUGGACCUCUCUUCCUUCAAGAAAAGAAUCCAGCCAACUAUUCGAAGGACGGGGCUCGCUGCCAUCCGGCACUGCCUUUUUGGGCCUCCAAAACUCCACCAGGGCCUCCGAGAAGAAAGGGACUUGGUCCUGACCAUUGCUCAGUGUGGCCUGGAUAGUCAGGACCCAAUGCAUGGCCGAGUCCUCCAGACCAUCUACAAGAAGCUGACUGGCUCCAAGUUUGACUGCGCCCUCCACGGAGACCACUGGGAAGAUCUGGGCUUUCAGGGAGCGAAUCCAGCUACAGACCUGAGAGGAGCAGGCUUCCUUGCCCUCCUACACCUGCUGUACCUGGUGAUGGACUCCAAGACCUUGCUGAUGGCCCAGGAGAUUUUCCGCCUAUCUCGUCACCAUAUCCAGCAAUUCCCCUUCUGUCUGAUGUCCGUGAACAUCACCCGCAUCACAAUCCAGGCCUUAAGGGAGGACAGCCUCUCCAGGGAGUGUAACCGGCAGCAGAAGGUGGUCCCCGUGGUGAACAGCUUCUAUGCCGCCACCUUCCUCCGCCUCGCACAUGUCUGGAGGACGCAGCAGAAGACCAUCGCUGACUCUGGCCUUGUCCUCAAAGACUUGGAGGUGUUGGCCAAGAAGAGCCCCAGGCGGCUGCUCAAGACCCUGGAAAUCUACCUGGCUGGAGUGUCAAAGGGACAGGCCUCAUUGUUGGAAGCACCGAAAUGCUAUGGGCCACAAGCCCCUCACUCCAAGGAUCUCACCUUCACAGGCGUGUGUGACCUGCCACCACAUUCAUCCGAAGGCACGUGGCUGAUCUGACCAGCCCAAGGCUGACAGAGACACUUAAAGGCUGGGCCAGAGGGGCUUGGGAGGGUGCAUGGGGCAUUGUCCCAGGAGUACCCUGGCUGGGCCUGGUUGGGGAGGCUAAGGACUCUCACCCAGUGAGACUUUCAGGUUAGUUAGACCCAUCCCACUCUCCACAGACCCACCUCCAGAGCAAGAAUUUGCCGUAAUUGGAGCUGAGUUAGUUGAGAAUUGGUUUCCAGGUGAACAAGUGGAUGGAUCAUGAGGUGGGAAGGCCCUGCGUGGAUGUUCCCCGUAUCCCGCUGAGAGAUAUUCCCACACAGAGGGGCCAGAAUUCUGAGUCACUGGGCAGCAGGGCUCUCAGGCUGUGGGUGUCCACAACACAGGGACCUGCAGCUAGAAUUUGAAGGGAGAAGGUAGCCAUCGUAGCUGCCAAUGCAGCAGCAUGAACCAGGGCAAGAGGCCUUCUCUCCAUCCUCUCCCAAGCUGGUAGCCGGGCCCCUGGGGGUUUCUGGUCUGGACUUAUCCCACCCUCCCCUCUCCCUAUCCCUUAGUUUAUGUCACAGAACCAGCUUUCUGGUGGGUAUCUCCAUUGCUGCCCACCCUGCCCAUCCCAGCUGUCUGCCAGCUGGGCAACCCCCUGCUGCACGCCCCCUGCCCCGUGGAGGUAUGCACUUCCCAUCAGGGGUGGUUUUCUGGCCUGGUUGAAGAAAGGAAGAGAUUCACAAACCAGCACAGUUUUUGAAUAAAAGAAUUGUUCUAGGUCAGGGGCCCCAAGUGUUUUCCUCUAAGACAAGCCUCCAAGACAAGCUUCGUACCUUGCUGUGGUCCUGUUCCAGGGCCUGGUAAGAGCCAGGGGCUCCAGGAGAGAAGGCUGCUCUGCCCUGGCCAGGCUCUCACUGAGGGCAUGUGGUGUCCAUCCUGCACUUAGAGGCCCAGACUCCUUGCAUACUCUAGCUAGGGGGAAGGGUGGUCCUGGCUCUGGUUAUGAUUGCUGUGAGGCCCCCACAUGUUUUUCCUACAUUGGCUUCUGGGGAAGCUAGUAGCUCUGUUGCUCCAUUGCUCCCGGUCAGGGUGUCCUAAGCUGGGGAGACCCCACUACACUGCUCUGUCCUCUGUACCCCUUCAAGUAGACCCAUGGAAGAUCACAGUCUCACCCCUACACACUUCUCCAAGUCCAACCCUCUGGAGCUGGGGUGCAGUGCUGAGGUGAGACAACACAGCCCCCCGGUACAGCAGAGAACUCCCCACCGUUGUUAGCAGGAUGCCUCAAGGCCGGGGCUGGUAAUGGACUGCAGUUUGCCUUGCACCAUCCUGGCCCAACCUGAACUAAUCCUUCGUCCCCUUUACUUCCCCCAAUCUGGGUUCUUAGUGGGCCUGUAGGGGUGGCCAAGAGCAUCCUGAGCUUGGUGGGGCAGGGGCGCAGAAAGGCUACGACCCAACCUCCACUUGAGAGUGUCCGUUCUGUAGCUCCUCCCCUGCAGAUUCCUUCCACUUGCUCUGCAGAAGGCUAAUUCUGCAGACCGGACAGACAACACCCAGUAGCCUGCAGCAUGGCUGGGGACCAGUCCACAUGGGCUUCUAGCUGGAGAGGCCAGUGGCCUCUGUGAGAGUCCUUUCUAACUAAGUCACUCCCCAUGUAAUGCCUCCGGAGUGCUCAGCUUCAGACCUUGGGACAUUAGCAACAGCACAGUCCAGGGAUUAAGUUGUGGUUCUCUUGGGGAAGGGGGAGGGGGGCCAAAACCCUUCGGAAGUAGAUGCAAACAUCUUAACCUGUGCAUUUUUCUUAGGAAGGGCCUAUCUAGGCCUUCCACGGGAGAUG